GAUGAACGCUGACAGAAUGCUUAACACAUGCAAGUCAACUUGAAUUUGGGUUUUUAACUUAGGUUUGGGUGGCGGACGGGUGAGUAACGCGUAAAGAACUUGCCUCACAGCUAGGGACAACAUUUGGAAACGAAUGCUAAUACCUAAUAUUAUGAUAAUAGGGCAUCCUAUAAUUAUGAAAGCUAUAAGCGCUGUGAGAGAGCUUUGCGUCCCAUUAGCUAGUUGGAGAGGUAACGGCUCACCAAGGCUUUGACGGGUAGCCGGCCUGAGAGGGUGACCGGUCACAUUGGGACUGAGAUACGGCCCAGACUCCUACGGGAGGCAGCAGUGGGGAAUAUUGCACAAUGGGCGAAAGCCUGAUGCAGCGACGCCGCGUGAGGGAUGGAGGCCUUCGGGUUGUAAACCUCUUUCGCUCAUGGUCAAGCCGCAACGCUGGUUGUGGUGAGGGUAGUGGGUAAAGAAGCGCCGGCUAACUACGUGCCAGCAGCCGCGGUAAUACGUAGGGCGCGAGCGUUGUCCGGAAUUAUUGGGCGUAAAGGGCUUGUAGGCGGUUGGUCGCGUCUGCCGUGAAAUCCUCUGGCUUAACUGGGGGCGUGCGGUGGGUACGGGCUGACUUGAGUGCGGUAGGGGAGACUGGAACUCCUGGUGUAGCGGUGGAAUGCGCAGAUAUCAGGAAGAACACCGGUGGCGAAGGCGGGUCUCUGGGCCGUUACUGACGCUGAGGAGCGAAAGCGUGGGGAGCGAACAGG
rnacentral:rRNA from 1 species